GUGCUCACUUCAGCAGCACCUAUAUUAAAACUGGAAUGAUACGAGAUCGUUAGCAUGGCCUCUGCACAAGUAUGACACACAAACUCAUGAAGCAUUAAAAAAAAUA